GCUUGAUAGUACCACUUGCCGCUCCAGCAGCUACCAAUACCUCUGAAGAAUCAAAGCUAACUGAAUCAAUUCCGCUUGAAUGACCUGACAAGCUCAAGAUGGCAUUGGGCUUGCCAAUGGCCCAAAGGUUAACCUUGUGAUCUUCUCCCCCAGUUACAAGAACCCUGGAUGAUUUUCUCCCAAUCUUUAAGCAGUUCACACUUAAAGAAUGUGCUACAAAUUCCUGUAGCUUAUAAGCACGUUUGGUAGUUGUCAUCGAAAGAGAGUCAAAACCACCAAAUCAAACAAAACCCACUUCUCGAUUCACAGCACAUUACGCAACAAAUCAAUAAACCCUUUGUUCUCCGUCCUUCAUUGCAUA
rnacentral:misc_RNA from 1 species